rnacentral:rRNA from 1 species
GAUGAACGCUGGCGGCGUGCCUAAUACAUGCAAGUCGAGCGAACGGACGAGAAGCUUGCUUCUCUGAUGUUAGCGGCGGACGGGUGAGUAACACGUGGAUAACCUACCUAUAAGACUGGGAUAACUUCGGGAAACCGGAGCUAAUACCGGAUGAUAUUUUGAACCGCAUGGUUCAAAAGUGAAAGACGGUCUUGCUGUCACUUAUAGAUGGAUCCGCGCUGCAUUAGCUAGUUGGUAAGGUAACGGCUUACCAAGGCAACGAUGCAUAGCCGACCUGAGAGGGUGAUCGGCCACACUGGAACUGAGACACGGUCCAGACUCCUACGGGAGGCAGCAGUAGGGAAUCUUCCGCAAUGGGCGAAAGCCUGACGGAGCAACGCCGCGUGAGUGAUGAAGGUCUUCGGAUCGUAAAACUCUGAUAUUAGGGAAGAACAUAUGUGUAAGUAACUGUGCACAUCUUGACGGUACCUAAUCAGAAAGCCACGGCUAACUACGUG